UCGUAAACUUAAAUAGUCCUAAAACAAGACUAUUCGCCAGAGUACUAUCGGCAACAGCCCAAAACUCAAAGGACUUGGCGGUGCUUCAUAUCCUUCUAGAGGAGCCUGUUCUGUAAACGAUAAACCACGAUUAACCUCACCAAUCCUUGCUACUUCAGUCUAUAUACCGCCAUCUUCAGCAAACCCUAAAAAAGGAACGAAAGUAAGCACAACUAUUGCACGUAAAAACGUUAGGUCAAGGUGUAACCUAUGGAUUGGGAAGAAAUGGGCUACAUUUUCUAUAACAAGAACACCCCUUAAACUUACACGAAAGUUUUUAUGAAACCUAAAAACUAAAGGAGGAUUUAGCAGUAAAUUAAGAAUAGAAUGCUUAAUUGAAUAAGGCCA
rnacentral:rRNA from 1 species